UGAAACGCUAGAUGUAAAUAUCCUUUAAAUCUUAUCUUUAAUUUGCUACAGUGAUGGUCAGUUGCCUUAAACCUCCACCAAAGCUUUUACUAAACAAAUUUCAUCAUUAACGGAUAAAUAAAUUUCCUAAUAAUAUGACUAUUCAUACUCUGCAGUUCUUUAGACCAUGUCAAUACUUCCAUUACAGUUCUAAGGAUGACUUUAAUGAACAUGAAGUAGAGAACAAAACCAAGCA
rnacentral:lncRNA from 1 species